UACGGAGGGGGCUAGCGUUGUUCGGAAUUACUGGGCGUAAAGCGCACGUAGGCGGACCAGCAAGUUAGGGGUGAAAUCCCGGGGCUCAACCCCGGAACUGCCUUUAAAACUGUUGGUCUGGAGGUCGAGAGAGGUGAGUGGAAUUCCGAGUGUAGAGGUGAAAUUCGUAGAUAUUCGGAGGAACACCAGUGGCGAAGGCGGCUCACUGGCUCGAUACUGACGCUGAGGUGCGAAAGCGUGGGGAGCAAACAGG
rnacentral:rRNA from 1 species